CCUACGGGAGGCAGCAGUGAGGAAUAUUGGUCAAUGGACGAGAGUCUGAACCAGCCAAGUAGCGUGAAGGAUGACUGCCCUAUGGGUUGUAAACUUCUUUUAUAUGGGAAUAAAACGUUCCACGUGUGGGAUUUUGUAUGUACCAUAUGAAUAAGGAUCGGCUAACUCCGUGCCAGCAGCCGCGGUAAUACGGAGGAUCCGAGCGUUAUCCGGAUUUAUUGGGUUUAAAGGAGGCGUAGGUGGAUUGUUAAGUCAGUUGUGAAAGUUGGCGGCUCAACCGUAAAAUUGCAGUUGAAACUGGCAGUCUUGAGUACAGUAGAGGUGGGCGGAAUUCGUGGUGUAGCGGUGAAAUGCUUAGAUAUCACGAAGAACUCCGAUUGCGAAGGCAGUUCACUGGACUGCAACUGACACUGAGGCUCGAAAGUGUGGGUAUCAAACAGGAUUAGAUACCCGGGUAGUC
rnacentral:rRNA from 1 species